AGUCAGGUCCUACUUCCGGUUCCUCUCUCUGGUUCCUGAAUGCUGAAGCAAUGCGACUGGCUGCUUCAGGCUCCCCCCGCUGUGAAUUCCACCCAGAUGUACGCCAGGAUGGACUUCUCUCUCCCUUCAAUUGUUUCUGGUUGCAGCAACAAGAAAGGCUGUAACGCCUCGAGGGGGUGUGUUUACGUUCCGGUAAGAGAGAGCGGGAAGAAAACGAGACCAGGAAGGAUGCUGCCUAAUGUCAUUGGUUCCAUUCUAUCAGAAAAUAAUUGCUGCAAAAGAUGACUCUGCCUCUCCCUCGGGCCUCAGUUUACACUUCAUCGGCCACAACUGAGUGAUAAUGAAAGGCAGCCCGCGCCGUGCAUGAAGCUGCCAUACCAAGGGGGCAAGUGGGGCCCUUCAGAACCGGUAGAGAGAAGGGCAGGUGUUCAGAGUAUUGAAAACAUCCCAUCAGGGGGCAGCGACCUUGGAAACUGUGUCCCAGCUUUCCAGUUUGCCUUAGUUGUCUCCUGCCUAGAAACCCCUGGUGUGAAGACACUGUUGCCAGCUUCCUCUGUCUCCCCUGCUUUCAAAAUGGCUUUUAUCCACUUGGCGGGAGGAUUCCAUGUCACGACAGACUUCACGGCAGCAGCCCAAAUUCCUGCAAGAAGCUACCUGCUGAGCCGCUGAGCUUGUUUUCCUGACAGAUCCUGACAAAGUGAAAAAAAGCGAUCCUGGCAUAGUGGGGGAUGGGUCCCCCCCCCCCAUCCCUCACCCCUUUAAAAAUCAGGCCCUAGAAUUAAAGUUGAGCCUUGAUCAGAGAA
rnacentral:lncRNA from 1 species